rnacentral:SRP_RNA from 1 species
UAUGAAGGGCUUAGGGUUGUAAUGCCGCCAACUCGGUCAGGUUCGGAAGGAAGCAGCCGUAACGGAUAAACAAGGUCUAAGUCCCUUCUCCUCG